AAGACAAUAUUUGAGCAAUACGUUCAUAAAGGAAUUAGCUGCACUUUGUUCUUAAUAAAUAAUGAAAGUAAAUAGAGCAAAAAUAUAUUUAAAAAUUCAGAGACUAAAAUCUUCUUUAUUGUCUAAAGUGUAAUUCGAUGAAGAAUUAAUAUGUUUUUGGUAUUGUUGAAAGGACUGCCUAGCUGUCAAUAACUUGAAAAUAAUGAAUAUUUUUAGAGAUACAUUUACAAACAGAAAGCAGUGAAAUGGUUUCAAUUUGAUAAACAAAGGUUGCCAAGAAUUUUACACAAGAC